rnacentral:misc_RNA from 1 species
UAGGAGCGAGGCUUGCCCGCGAUAGGCUUGACGCGGUGGGCCUGCAAUACCGCGAUGUCUGAAUCGCGGGCAAGCCUCGCUCCUA